rnacentral:misc_RNA from 1 species
GGGGGAGCCACAGUACUUGCAACAUCAGUUACUGCAGCAACCGACUCCGUCUCAGGUACCGGUCCUGCCAUCAUAGUGUAUCAUCAGUUGCUGCAGCAACAGUCGCAGUUGCAGAAAUAUGUCAUACCGGUUUUGGAUCUGGCGGCCUCGUCUCUCCGGUGCCCGGCGAUCACCGGCGGCCUUGCCUCACCUGUGGCUUCAUCUCUCAGGCGUCCAAUUUG